GAUGAACGCUGGCGGCGUGCCUAAUACAUGCAAGUCGAGCGAACAGACGAUGAGCUUGCUCCUCUGACGUUAGCGGCGGACGGGUGAGUAACAAGUGGAUAACCUACCUAUAAGACUGGGAUAACUUCGGGAAACCGGAGCUAAGACCGGAUAAUAUAUUGAACCGCAUGGUUCAAUAGUGAAAGACGGUUUUGCUGUCACUUAUAGAUGUAGACGCGCCGCAUUAGCUAGUUGGUAAGGUAACGGCUUACCAAGGCAACGAUGCGUAGCCGACCUGAGAGGGUGAUCGGCCACACUGGAACUGAGACACGGUCCAGCCUCCUACGGGAGGCAGCAGUAGGGAAUCUUCCGCAAUGGGCGAAAGACUGACGGAGCAACGCCGCGUGAGUGAUGAAGGUCUUCGGAUCGUAAAACUCUGUUAUUAGGGAAGAACAAAUGUGUAAGUAAAUAUGCACGUCUUGACGGUACCUAAUCAGAAAGCAACGGCUAACUACGUG
rnacentral:rRNA from 1 species